ACUUCCCAGGACUUUUCUCUCCCAACUGUCUCCACCACAGAGGUUAGAAAGGUAAAUAUGAGGUUUCUAAGCCCCGUUGUUAUUAGGGGUGGCCCCCUGACCCAUCUGUGGUUCAGUCUUCACUGUGGAUGCAAUGGCUGGAGCCAUAGGAGUCUCCUCAUGACCACAAUGGAAAGGUUGAGAGAUUGCAGAAAACAUCGACUGUGACACAGCUGAGCCACUGAAAAGACAGCCUUAUGAACAAAGCCUCAUCUGUUUAAGCCAUGGUCAGCUGGGUGCUGACAUCAAAUUCCAACUCCACCACUUCCUAGCUUGGGCUGGUUACUUUUGUUCUAGUUACCACUAACUUUUGUCCUGUGCCAAAUUUUGCCUAUCUAUAAAAUGGUACUAACUCACAGAACUAUUAUUGUGGCAGUGUCGGAGGGUGCAGCAUUUAGCUAUGCGAAUGGAGGUUAUCUAAGGAGACAGAAGUGGCGCAGUCCAAGGUAGGAGGCCAGAGUUGCUGUGAAAAGUGAGAGCUGACACGGCAACGUUUUGAGGACAACCCCGAAGAGGUAAGUGCAGAGAAACGAACUUGGGCCAUCCACAGGGUCCUGUUGAACCUCUAGAGAUGAACCA
rnacentral:lncRNA from 1 species